CAAUCUGCCUUGGAGUGGGGAAUAACGGCUGGAAACAGCCGCUAAUACCGCAUGAAGCAGCUGGGAGGCAUCUCCCUGGCUGCCAAAGAUUUAUCGCUCUGAGAUGAGCUCGCGUCUGAUUAGCUGGUUGGCGGGGUAACGGCCCACCAAGGCGACGAUCAGUAGCCGGACUGAGAGGUUGGCCGGCCACAUUGGGACUGAGACACGGCCCAGACUCCUACGGGAGGCAGCAG
rnacentral:rRNA from 1 species